GAUAGAGCUUCCCCUUCGGGGGCAAAGUGACAGGUGGUGCAUGGUUGUCGUCAGCUCGUGUCGUGAGAUGUUGGGUUAAGUCCCGCAACGAGCGCAACCCUUAUUGUUAGUUGCCAUCAUUUAGUUGGGCACUCUAGCGAGACUGCCGGUGACAAACCGGAGGAAGGUGGGGAUGACGUCAAAUCAUCAUGCCCCUUAUGACCUGGGCUACACACGUGCUACAAUGGGAAGUACAACGAGUUGCGAAGUCGCGAGGCUAAGCUAAUCUCUUAAAGCUUCUCUCAGUUCGGAUUGUAGGCUGCAACUCGCCUACAUGAAGCCGGAAUCGCUAGUAAUCGCGGAUCAGCACGCCGCGGUGAAUACGUUCCCGGGCCUUGUACACACCGCCCGUCACACCACGAGAGUUUGUAACACCCGAAGUCGGUGAGGUAACCUUUUUGGAGCCAGCCGCCUAAGGUGGGAUAGAUGAUUGGGGUGAAGUCGUAACAAGGUAGCCGUAUCGGAAGGUGCGGCUGGAUCACCUCCUUUCUAAGGAA
rnacentral:rRNA from 1 species